UGGCAUUUGACAUUGGGCCGGAGAAGUUUAGGAUGAUGAGGAUUCCCAAAUUCUGCAACUCCUCUAUAACGGAACUGGAUGGGUGUCUAACCGGGGUGCUUAACCGCCCCCAAACAGCGCUAACGCAGAAGCUAAUGAAAUUUCAUGAUCGUAAUAAAGAGCGAACGACAUCAUCUACUGCUGUUGUUAGUACAAGUGAAGAAGAAGAUUGGAGUGAAGUUAGUAUUGAAAUGCCUUGGUAUAUA
rnacentral:lncRNA from 1 species